GAACAGACCUCAUCAAAUAACCGAUCUGCGACGCUAUAGCUUUGGGUAAUUUCAGGACCCGUCUUGAAACACGGACCAAGGAGUCUAGCAUGUACGCAAGUCAUUGGGAAUUAAUAAACCUAAAGGCGAAAUGAAAGUAAAGAUCCUCCUUGCGGGGAUCAAGGGAAGAUGGUCGGUAUUAAAAAUCGCCCUCAAAAGCGGGGCCGAUCCGCAUUCCCGGGGCGUCUCGUUCUCAUUGCGAGAUGAGGCGCACCAAGAGCGUACACGCUGGGACCCGAAAGAUGGUGAACUAUGCCUGGUCAGGACGAAGUCAGGGGAAACCCUGAUGGAGGUCCGUAGCGAUUCUGACGUGCAAAUCGAUCGUCGGAACUGGGUAUA
rnacentral:rRNA from 1 species